rnacentral:rRNA from 1 species
GUCGAACGCGAAAGUCCCGCAAGGGAUGAGUAGAGUGGCAAACGGGUGAGUAACACGUGGGUGACCUGCCUUCGAGCGGGGGAUAACGUCCCGAAAGGGACGCUAAUACCGCAUGACAUCCUGCCUUUUAAGAGGUGGAGAUCAAAGCCGGGGAUCGCAAGACCUGGCACUCGAAGAGGGGCCCGCGCCUGAUUAGCUAGUUGGUGGGGUAAUGGCUCACCAAGGCAACGAUCAGUAUCCGGCCUGAGAGGGCGGACGGACACACUGGGACUGAGACACGGCCCAGACUCCUACGGGAGGCAGCAGUGGGGAAUUGUUCGCAAUGGGCGCAGGCCUGACGACGCAACGCCGCGUGGAGGAUGAAGACCUUCGGGUCGUAAACUCCUUUCGAUCGAGACGAACGGCUCCCAUCUGAACAGGAUGGGAGAGUGACGGUACCGAGAGAAGAAGCCCCGGCUAACUCCGUGCCAGCAGCCGCGGUAAUNACGGGGGGGGCAAGCGUUGUUCGGAAUUACUGGGCGUAAAGGGCUCGUAGGCGGCCAACUAAGUCAGACGUGAAAUCCCUCGGCUUAACCGGGGAACUGCGUCUGAUACUGGAUGGCUUGAGUUUGGGAGAGGGAUGCGGAAUUCCAGGUGUAGCGGUGAAAUGCGUAGAUAUCUGGAGGAACACGGGUGGCGAAGGCGGCAUCCUGGACCAACACUGACGCUGAUGAGCGAAAGCCAGGGGAGCAAACGGGAUUAGAUACCCCGGUAGUCCUGGCCCUAAA